rnacentral:lncRNA from 1 species
GAAAUGAAAUUUUAAUAUAAAAGUAAUUCCCUAGAAAGCUUCUCUAGUAAAAUGUUUUUUUUCCUCUAUAUAAAUUCAUUCAUACUCAUGCAAACAAUCCAAAGUUCAACCACAAAAUAAGCUUCACAUAAGAGCAGAGCAAAGCAUCCUGCUAAUAAAAUAACAAAGCAAAACCAGACUUCUCAUAUUUUCAAGUGUCCAUUUCCAACUCUUCAUUUUGGCCAAUAUUAUAGAAUCAACCUGAGUAUAUGACCUUCAGCUGUGCAUGAGGAGUUGGCCAUUCUCGUUUCGGACCACCCAUGGCCAUGAUGCUCCUGUUAAUCUUUUUGCUGCUGACCAGAAAAACCAAUGUUGCAUUUGACUAGUAAAAUGUUUGACAUUCAAGUUUUGGACUAUCUAAAAAGAAUAGUAAAAAACAAAGAUUCCAGAAUGUGACACCCCGAAAAGAAGAUCUUUUAAAUCCACCAACAUAAGAAUAUAUGACAACUGAAUAAUUUAUUUAUUUGAUUGGAUCUCAGUCAUAUAGAAGAGUCCAUGGGGUUGAUAUCUGCAUUAGGCACGUGGGUUUGGUUUAUUCGGUUAGUUCGGGUGGUUAGUUCAAAAUUCAGUUCGUUUGGGUCAGUUGAAAUUUUACCAAAGUAAAACGAAAAAAUUUGGUUCAGUUUUGGUUAAUUUGAUUUCAAAAAUUUUACCGAAGUUUUUGGUUAUGCGGUUAGUUUAGUUAAUUUUCAGUUCAAAUUUACUUAUUUUGAAUUUUUUUUACUAAUUUCUUUGGUUAAUUCGGUUAUUUUGAUUCGGAUGUUGGUUCAGAAUUUCAGUUAGGAUUGGUGUUGUUUGAAUUUUUUUUUAGAAAACCGAAUUAACCGAGCAAAACCAAAAACCAAACUUUUUCUAGUUUCCGACCCGAACUUUCUAACCGAACACCAAACUUUUCGGGUCGGUUCGGUUUGGGUAAUAGCCGCAGGCCUACUGUGCAUGUUGCAGGCAUUCAAACGUUUUUUUUUUAAAUGGUUGGAUCCUUUUAGUAAAGAUUCUUCUCUGCAUGAUUUCCUUUGUUCCCCCGCGUCGUUCUUUAGACGUUACCAAACAAAAUGGACGUAACUAUCCGUAGGACCGUAACCCAACACUCCAAUAUAUCAAAAGAUGCCUUUGUUUUCUUUAAGAAUUCAAACUAUAUAUGUUUUGCUCAUAUCAAUUAUAUUAUGCCACGUAUCAGGAUCUGUUUGGAUUUGCCAAGAAAACAAAAUUAUGUAUAUGGUUAACGCUAAAUAUAAAAUAACUUUUUUCAAAAAAAAAAUUUUGAAUUUUUUAUAAAUGAUUAAAUCCCCUAGACUAUAUUUGCGAAUUGAUUUUGCCACAUGUUUUUUCUACAAUCAAUUUCACAAAACAAAUAUGACAUGACUACUGAAAUUGAUGACAUAUCUUAUAGCUUAAUAUGACAUGGACAAUUGUAUUUAAUGUUAAUUUAUAUUUUUGGUAAACUUUUCAAAAUAUGGUACUAACUCAUAUAUUACAUUUAAUGUCAAUUUAUAUUUUUGGAAUUUUUUUUAAAAUAUAGGAAUAACUCAUAAAUUAUUAUUAAAAUAAAUAUAUUCAAAUAUGGUACUAUAAAUUUCGAAAUAUAAUUUAAUUAUAUAUUUUCAAAUUAUACAAUUUUAUUACUAAAAUUUUCAAAAUUGUAUACAAUUUUUAUAGAAAAUUAGAAACAUUUAAUCGUAAAAUCAUUAUUUUCUUAUAUAUCUACAAAUUUUAUAAAUAUUGUUUAAUUUUAAUUUUUGGUAAUUACACAACUCUUACAAAUCUAUUUAAUAUGUUUAAUUAAAAUAAAUAGAUAGAAAAAUCUAUCUAGGAUUAUAAUUUCAAAUAUAUACAUGCAUAUUCUUAAAUAUUAAUUUUAUAUUUAAUUAAAUAAAACUUAUAUUAAAAUGUUGAUAUGAAAAAGAAAAUUUAAAAUAUUAAUAAAAUUUUAUUUUAAAAUAUAAUUUAUAUUUAUCUGUUAAAAAAUAUUUUAAAUUUUUUUACAUAAUUUCAAAUAUAUACAUGCAUAUUCUUAAAUAUUAAUUUUAUAUUUAAUUAAAUAAAACUUAUAUUAAAAUGUUGAUAUGAAAAAGAAAAUUUAAAAUAUUAAUAAAAUUUUAUUUUAAAAUAUAAUUUAUAUUUAUCUGUUAAAAAAUAUUUUAAUUUUUUUUACUGCACAUGGUGCAGGAAAACACCUAGUUCUAUGGAAAUGGUUCUAUGGUUCUAUUAAAAAAAAAUAGUUCUAUGGCUUGCUAUUUUUUUUUAAUUAUUCACAAUGUAUAGAGCCAUUUUACAUAUACAUUAAAACUAUAUAAAUUAAUAAUUUUAUAAUUAUGAUAAUUUAUUUAUUUAUAGAGUUAUCAGUUUAAAGAUUCUUUUAGAUUGUAUUUAUAUAGUUUUUAUUUUCAAUUUCUUAGAAAGGAAGAAAAUUUGAUUUUCACAACAAUAUAUACCAAUUAAAUUUUGUAAAUUUGGAUUUCGUCUCUUUUGUUAGAUUAUUUGAUAUUUAAAAUAUGAGAAUUACAUUUCAUAAAAUAUAAAUGAUUUUUAGUUUUAAUAUGAAAAAUACAUAAAAUAUUGAAAUGAAAAGACAUAGAUGAAUUUAUUUUUAAAAUAAACAUUAAAAUAUUUUCUUAUGUUUAUAUAAAUUGUCUGUAAAUUGUAUAUAAGCAAUUAUGAAUUUAUAAUUUUAAUGGAACCAUGUAUAUAUUUAAAAGUUUUCAAUUUUGUUUUUUUUUUUAAUUGUAUUGUCAAAUCUUAUAGUAAUUUAGUUUGAAAAUAAAACUUUUAGUUAAUUAUUGAAUAUUAAUUUAUAGAGUUUUUACUAUAUGUAUUAUAUUUUCAGGGUUGUAGUAGAUAUGGUUUGUUGAUAUCAAACUACGAAACACAAGUUAAUAUUGUGAUAUAUACAUAUAUAUCAUUUUGAAACUAAUAAUCACUAUCAGUUUCUUCUGAUAAUUCAAAUUCUAAUAUUAAUAAUUUAGUUUUUAUUUCUUGAAUAUCUGGUUUAUUUUGGAAUAUUUCGUUUAUUUUCUUUUUCAUCUUGCAUUAUGUGAAUCUAUGUCCAGCUCUUUUACAAUUUUAACAGACUAAUUUUUGUGCAUUUAUUGGUUUAUAUUUUUUUUCUUCUUUGAAUGAUAUUUGAUUAGUUGUUUUUUGUCAUCUGUGUAUUUUAUUAUUGGUGUAUAUUACUUUGGUGUAUAUUACUGUUUGUUUCUACAAAAUAAUAAAUAGAAUAUAUUUGUACAAAUACGAAAACUACUACCAAGAAUCAUGAUGACAAACAAAUGGAACCUACGAGAAAACUUAUGCAACCAAGUGUAAUUAAAAGACAAGAUUCUCUAUCAACCACCACUCAAAGUGUCGACACCACUCAGAAAAAAACACAUAUUAAAGCACUCAACAUGCAUCUUCUACGAUAAAUAUCUCUUUUAUCAAUGAAGAGAGGGAUAUAAGAGAGACACAAGCAAUUAAAGUUUUCAGAUUUCAAGCUUUUAAAGUUUUAAAAUCUACUUUUGUAAUUGAUAUAUUAAAAUUUGUACUUUAAUCCAAACUCAAUAAAACGAGUUUAUACUCGACAUUUAGCGCCUCUCUUCUUUUAGACUUAAGCCUUAGCAACUCUCGACCUCAGUAAGUACCCUUUUAAAAGGUUAAUACUUAGUGUCUGGAAGUAUCGAGUAGACUUCACAUCAUGUAUCACUUAAAGACAAUAUUCCCAUUCAAGUAUCAACCACGAUUCGAAGUGUCGGCAUCACUAAGAAAGAGAGACGUAUUGAAGCACUCAGCAUGCAUCUUCUACUAUGAAUACCACCUCUCUCAACAUGGUUUAUUUCCUUGUAAAGACCAUUUUCUUCUUCUAUUCUUCUUAUUUCAACAUGGUUUAUUAUUGAAUUUUGGAUACCUGUAUCUAGUGAAUUAUCCCACCAAUUGUUUAAUGCUUCAUUAUAUCAUGUUACUAGCAUAACAUAUGCUUGUUUAUUAGAAUUAUCUCUAACUUUAAAUGUUAUAGCGGCCUUCCUCGUUUCUUGAAUUAAGUUCAUUAUUUUAUAUUCUCAACGUCCAUCAAUAUUCCAUUCAUAUAUAUCAUCUCCAGUUUAUACAUUAUUAGUAUAUUUAUGGUAUUUUUCAAAUAAUAGAUCAGGUUGAGUAUGUCGUCGAUAAUAACAUUUUAUAGAUUUUAUUUUUUAUUCAAUUAGUUUCUUGAUUAUUUUUUCUGAUUGUGAGGAUGUUUGAAUAGAAUCAUUAUCAUCUGCAUCUAUAAUAUCCAUUUAUUUAUUUUUGUUUAAUUUAUCAAAAUUUGUAGAAAUUGAUCUAAAAUUUCAUUCUCAUGAAAUUUGAUUUGUCUAGUUAUCGGCUUAAAGAUUGGUAUGGUUACAAAUGAAAAUGGAUGUUGAUUACUUUGGUUAAAUUGAUCCAGUUGUUAUUUUAAUUGGCAUUUAUUUUAUUUUCUGUGUUUUCUAAUUGUUUAGAAAUUGUAUUUAAUAAUUUACUUUGGUAAUUAUUUUGUUAAUAUAUGAUUAAAUAUCUUGUAGAAUUACAGAGUCUUUAUCAUAUUUAUUAGCUCUGGUUUUAAAAGAUGUGGCUAUUAUUUGUCGAUUUAAAGUAUUUAUUUUAAAAUAUUCUAGUGGUGGAUGAAUUGAUUUAAUAUUAUUAACAUCUACUUGUUCCCAUAUUUGACUGAAAGAUGAACUUGUAUUAAUUUUAAAUAGAUAAUUGAUAUUAUGUGUGAUUAAAUAUGUUUAAAAUGAUGUAAAAUGGAAUAUAUAUAUUUAUUUUAAUAUUAUGCAAUUAUAAAAAAAUUCUAAAUUAAGUAGUUUUCUGCUUAGAGAAUGUUUUGAAAUACCAGUUAUGUUUUUCUUCAUUUUCUUUUGAAUAAAAGUUGCCUUUGAUAUAUUGUUUGUCAAUUUCAAAUUUAUUGUAAUGACAUUUAAAUAUUUAAAUGUAUUGGUGUAGAUACAUACCUUGUUCAGGUUCAUCUAUGGGUACUUUAAAUUUAAUUGAAUUUUCUUGUUUAAUACUUUGGUUUACAUUUUCUGUUUUCGAAUCUGCACUAAAUUGAUCGGUAUGAUAUUCUGAAAUCGAAGCUCAUGAAUGAUAUGAACUAACUCUGGGUAGAAGUGGAUUUUAUAUAUGACCCGAAUUGUAGUAAUAUUUUUCUAUCCAUUCGUUCAAUUAUUUUUGAAAUAUUGUUCAAACUUUCCAGGAGGUUGAGUAAUUUCAAAUUUCCAUUGAUCUGGAAUAGUUAUUUCAUCCCUUUUUAAUUGUGUACAUAUGUAUGUAGUUGUUAGAUCAUCUUUACUAUGAACAGAUAAAAUUGUUGUUUCUCCUUUAUCAUCUUGUGAUAAACAUCUUGGGUUAAAUUCAAAAGUUGAAGUUUAAAAUAAAUUCAAUAGAGUAACAAAUAUCUAUGUCGUUCAUUUUGGAAUUUAGUUUCUGGUAAAUGAAGAUUUAAUGUUAGAGUUUGAGUAUAGUUGGAUCAUAUAAGCUUACUUGAAAAUUAGGAGCGCAAUUAAAAUAGACUACCCCGUUGUAAAAUGUAGAUAGCACUGCUACAAUGAGCGAAUCUUCAAACUUUAACAAAGUUUUAUCUCUUAAUAACAUAAGUAUUGGUGAAUCUAAUACUGGUUCUUGAUAAAGGUUAUCAAUUUGUAUUAAAUCAAAAUACACAUAUAAUUGAAUCCCUUUUGCAUGUAUUUGACUAAAGCGAGUGGAAAUAAUAUUUUAAUUUCUUCAAAUUCAUUUUGAAGAUAUGGGGUUUGCUCAUGUUCUUUUAUUUAAUAAGCUGUUUUAAAGAUUUCCAGUUUGAUAUAUGUGUUCUGGCUGGAUAUGAGGUAGAUGAUAUUUUGUUAUUUCUUGAUUAAAUGUUGUUAUUUUAACAUAAUUUCUCUUGAAUUAAUUAUUGUAUAUGAUGCAGAAGUUGAUGCAUGUUUUGGUUAAAGAGUUUUCUAAACGAGGACGACAUGACUUAUUUUAAAUUUAAACUCAUACUAGGAGGAUACUAACCAAUUUUACGAUGACAUGAUUGUGGCUUGCCAACUGUCUUACUUCCUCUUUCAGGUAUUUCUGCUUGGAACACCUACAGUAACAAUUUUUUUGCAGAAAGGUAAG